rnacentral:lncRNA from 1 species
UUGAGAAUUGAAAGAAAAUCAAGAAGGAAGAUGAAGAGAAGAAAGAUCAACACAUAGAGUUUUAGAGAGAGAGAGAUCUAGAGAGAGAAAUAUGCUUUUGUAUUGAUUAAUUGAAUGAAGGUAACACAACUGUUUUUAUAAGAGAAAGCUUAACUACUCUAACCAAAUACUAACAACCUUACUAAAUAUAUUACUGACUGUAUUUCUAGCUUUAUUACACUUGUACCUUUAAUACUUCCCCUCAAUCUCAACUGGGGUAUCCCAUUUUGAGAUUGCAGCAAAGUCUCAAAUAGCAAACACUGAAAUAUGGACAAAUGGACGCACUGCAAAUUGAUCCUGAGCUUGAAAAUGCAUUUAGCUGUCACUUGCAGGACCAUUGGUUUUGUAUCCGGAAAGUGAGUGGAGAGUGGUAUAGUUUUGACAGUCUUUAUGCGGCACCAUUGCACCUCUCAAAUUCUCAACCGCAAUAUCAAAUUCCAAAUUUCAUUUUUUCUUCACCAUAAGUGCACCAAAAACCCAUUUCUUCUCAACUCUCUCAUGGGUUUCUGUAACAGUGAAAUCACAUUCAACUGCAUAAUCUGCACCUUUCUCAAAUUGAUAGGUAUCCAUAUUCAACAUGCUACUUGCACAGCUACUUGCUCACUAAACUGACAGGUAUUCAGAAUUUAAAUCCAUACUGUGUAGCUACUGUUCUCUUUGCUCAUCCCAUUAUCAUCACACAUCAUUUUUGCAGAUACAAUCUUCCAAAAAGAGAAUGUUCUCCAAUAUUUCUUUCAACAUACUCAGCAAGAUUAUGGAGCCAUUUUGUAUGCAAAAGCCUUUGUUUCCAAUAGAAUACAGAAUCAAAGAAUAGCCUUUUAUAAAGUUGUAACACACCCUCAUGCCGGUUAUAACAAUUCCUUGCGGGAUUACCCUUUACCGUCAUCAACUUCAUUUAACAUUGGCAUUGGCCUUUAAAACAAAAAAUUAACAAACUAUAGUGUGGCAUCGACCUUAACUAUAGUACCACGGGAUCGCCCUUUGUGGAUUUUACCAAAAAACAACUACGGCCUUAACAAUUUCAACAACAACAAAAUCAACAUCUAUGUAGGAUUACCUUUCGUGGGAUUUACCUACUCACAUCACGGAAUUACCCUUCGUGGGAUUUACCAUUUAACAACUUCUUCUACCCUUUGUGGGAUUUACCUAUUCACAUCACGGAAUUACCCUUCGUGGGAUUUACCGUUAACAACUUCUUCAAACUUCAUUGUAUAACCAGACUUACUGUAGAUUCAUGCUAACAACUGAGUUGGUUAGACUUUGAAAUUAUAGGCUGAGAUAAGCUGCUGAACAAUUUAAACCCAAUGACAAGACAUCAGAAAUUCAAGGACUUACAGAGUAACUUUACCAGCAGGACACUACUUUGUUGGCUAUUCGAAGAAAAAAUAAUCUCAACUCAGUGUAGUUGCACCGACAUGAUACCAUAAUUGCGUACUGAUCAGCAGUUGAAGUACUCUUCUUUCCUUCAACAGUUCAGGUGCAGACUAAUUCAAGGCAUCCAGUUGAAAAACAGUGCUAGAAAUUGUUCAGAGAUAAAAUAUUUCUCAAAUUCUCAUGGAAUGCAAGUCAGUUAAAUGCCUCCCUCUUGUGUGGUAGCUUUGGAUCAAGAAAGGGAGUACUCCUCAGUUCCUGAAUCUUUGGUUCUUGAGCAAAAAAAGCCCAAAAAACACAUUGGAGUUCGGCAACCAUUCAAGAUAACACAACGAAAGUAAUCAGGGUCGGGUGGGUUGCAAGUGUGUGCGUGAGUGCAAGCAUGUGUCUCCUUAAACAGGUCAUCGAAGAAGCUGUCCAUUGAGCAACUACUCGCAAGUUCACCGCCCAUGUUUGCACCCGGAAACACCUCUUGGUCGUCCAUUAGGGUGAAUAACAUGAAGACCAAAUAGGAAUAAGCUCCAACCGAGUGAAAAAGCACCAAAAUUUCAAAAAAACUUGGCCUCGACCCAGACCAAAUUUCUAGCACGAUACUCUUAACAGACUGAAAUUAGAGAAACCCAUAUGAAAAUUUGAGGUUCUUGAUUCCUGUUCUGCACGAACAGAGCGAAAUCCACCGAAUCAAUCACGACCCAGAUAAGAAUUCAACAACCCAAAAAUCUAAAAUCGAUUAGAAAUGGUUGAAAAUGAAAGAUUCCCAGCGCGGACGAUUAACAGUAGGAGCAAUUCAAAAUGGUAAAAUGAUAAAAUUGUAGAACUAUUCAAAAGAGUAAAAUGAUGAAAACGAUGAAAUCUAAUGAAAAAUGGAACCACCAGAAUCCAUGGCGUGAGCCUGGUGGCUCUGAUACCAUGUUAACUACAUUGUAACGUUUGGGAAUUGAAAGAAAAUCAAGAAGGAAGAUGAAGAGAAGAAAGAUCAACACAGAGAGUUUUAGAGAGAGAGAGAUCUAGAGAGAAAUAUGCUUUUGUAUUGAUUAAUUGAAUGAAGGUUACACAACUGUUUUUAUAAGAGAAAGCUUAACUACUCUAACCAAAUGCUAACAACUUUACUAACUAUAUUACUGACUGUAUUUCUAACUGUAUUACACUUGUACCCUUAAUAAUAAGCACAUAGCAAACCUUGUCCCUCACCGAUGUGGG